rnacentral:rRNA from 2 species
GCUUGCUGGGGGGAUUAGUGGCGAACGGGUGAGUAACACGUGAGUAACCUGCCCUUGACUCUGGGAUAAGCCUGGGAAACUGGGUCUAAUACCGGAUAUGACUCCUCAUCGCAUGGUGGGGGGUGGAAAGCUUUUGUGGUCUUGGAUGGACUCGCGCCCUUUCACCUUGUGGGUGGGGUAAUGGCCUACCAAGGCGACGACGGGUAGCCGGCCUGAGAGGGUGACCGGCCACACUGGGACUGAGACACGGCCCAGACUCCUACGGGAGGCAGCAGUGGGGAAUAUUGCACAAUGGGCGCAAGCCUGAUGCAGCGACGCCGCGUGAGGGAUGACGGCCUUCGGGUUGAAAACCUCUUUUCAGUAGGGAAGAAGCCUUUCGGGGUGACGGUACUUGCAGAAAAAGCGCCGGCUAACUACGUGCCACCAGCCGCGGUAAUACGUAGGGCGCAAGCGUUAUCCGGAAUUAUUGGGGCGUAAGAGCUCGUAGGCGGUUUGUCGCGUUCUGCUGUGAAAGACCGGGGCUCAACUCCGGUUCUGCAGUGGGUACGGGCAGACUAGAGUGCAGUAGGGGAGACUGGAAUUCCGGUGGUAGCGUGAAAUGCGCAAAAUU